ACUCUCCACUCCUUCCUCCACUCCCUCACACUCUCCUCCUCCACUCCCCCACGAAAUGCUGCUCUACCUAGCUCCCAUGGCCGGCCAUGGCCAUGGAAAGCUCACCAAGAUGCAGCUCCCCUCCUCCCUCAAGCUCCUCCUCACCAUGAGAGCAUCCCUCUCACUCUCUUCUCCCCUAACCCUUGCUGAAUCCAUCUCUUUUUCUCUUUUCCCCUCUCACAAGAUUGGAUCUUGAUGCAGGUGCAUGUUGGUCCAAACAUGGAGAAGCUUCACCUAUCCUCAGAUCUGAAGUCCUUGACCAAAGGGAUACUUGGUUUAUACCAUGGUGAUAACCGUGAGAGGCAAUUGUUAAGUUGUGAUGCACUCAUGCCUUUACUAGAUGCAAAUAAUUCCGGAGAAGAAGAAGUGGAAUCGGAUGAGGAUAUUAUUUAUAUUGUUGGAAUUCUUAUUGGAUGGAGUUGAAGAAGUCCAGGGACAAAUAAGCCAACCAAGGCAAGCCAUCUUUUGAUCUCUGAUAUGGUGUCUCUUUCGAUGUCAUCUUGUUGCUAUCAUUAGGAUUCUGGUUCUAUGUGUGGUGAUCUCCAUAUCUUUACUAUUAAACUAGCGGGGUGACCCGCGCAACCGCGCGGCUAGACUUUAUUUUAACUUCAUAUUUAAGACACUCAUUUGUAACACAUAGAAUACUUUAGGACUCAAUUAAUUUGCUUGACUUGACUUGUCCUUAGCUUUAUCUUUUAUUUUGCAUAGCUACAUGCAUAUAUCUUUCAUAUUUCUAGACAAAAGUUCCAUGUAGUAGCAUGUAUUGUAUCAGAGCUGCAAAACAGAGGGAAAAAAUAUAUUAGUAAUGCUCCUUACAGUAGAAAAAUAUACAUUUUUAAAUAUAUAUAGAAAAUACAUGUUUUCCAUCGACAUCUACAUGAUUUGUUAACAUGUUUUCCAUGUUAAAUAUAUGUUUGAUUCUUUGAUCAGAAAAAAUAAUCUAAACAUAGUAAUAUUGCACAGUGAAAACAGUUUCUUCAGAUGGAAGCGGUCAGGACUUUAAACCUACAGACUUUAAUAAGACAUAAGUGAUCUAACUAAUCAAUAAUUCACAUUAGAGCAGGUUGCUCGUAAGAACACUGCAUGUCAGGAGCGGAAGAUUUUAGCAAACAUGAAGAUUAUAGCUGUCAAAGAUUGCUGCUACUGCCCAAAUUUGGUGAUGUGCUUUGCCAUGGUGAAGAAGCAAACCAAGGACGUUGGCAUUGCUGCUGUCCUAAAACUCACGAUAGAAUACUUUAGGACUCCUGUCUCCCGUCUAUUUACGGUCUGCACUGCGGCCCUCCUGUCUCCCGUCAGCUCUUCCCCUGCCGGUGGUGGCUGAUGGUGGUGGCUGGUGGUGGCACGCCGGUGGUGGUGGGCGGCGGCUCUGAGCCUUUCCCGCCCGCCUCUCGCCGGCGCGUGGAGGUGGUCUUCGGUUUCUCCCGCGGCACGAGGUCGCCCGGGGCAGCAGCCUUGGGUUCGACGGUGGAGGCGGCCUUCUUCUUCGCCGGAGGAGGUCGGCUGGUUGCCGGGGUGGCGGAUCACGAGAUCUGUCUACUCCGGUGAUGAAGAUCUAGUCGACAACGAGAUGGCGGCGAAGGGGCCACCGGUGAAAACCGCGCCUUGACUUCGUUCUUGGCCGAUGAUGGCGACGGCUUUUGGCGUCGUUCCCCUGCGAAGGCAUCAUCUUUGCUGGCCUUUUCGCUUGCUCUCGCCGAGUUGGGGAUUCGCGGCUGCCGGUGAAAACCGUGCCUCGAUUGGCGGGCGAUGGCGGCGUUAAGUGUCGUUUCCUUCUUGAAGGCAUCGUCGUCGCAGUCUGCGGCUAUUCACUCGUGCUGCUCCGGGGGAAACUCUAGAUCCAACCAGGAUCGGACAAUGAUGGCGCUCCCUGCGUCGUUCUACCUCUUGUGGCAUCGUUUUUGGAGCAGCGACUAGAUGGAGGUGGAUCUUGGUGGUGUGGUGUUCAUCUACCACGUUGACGUUGAUGAUUCUCAGCGGCGUGGAGCUGCGGGGUGUCGAAGACGGGCGAGGACAGCUGGACGCGUGCAGGAUGGCGGGGCCGUCUGGCGUCAUGGUGGCAUCGACAGCAGGUCUUGCAAGGUUAAUGCGAUGAUCUCUCUUGAAGAUGGAGUCGAGGAAGAUGGCGGUAGCAACUUCUGUGGCGUGUGCGUUGGCAUGCGCGGAGAGUCUGCUUGACUGGAUGUGCUUCUCACCUGCUAUUGGGCGGUUUGGGAAGGCAUUUGGUUUUUGGAUGAUGUCAGUUGGUGUAUUGUCACCCCCUUCAUCCCACUGUAGGUCUAGUGAGGUGGCUUCGAGGUUGAUUUUUUGUAUUACUUCUUGUAAGGUUUGUGAAUAAUCUAAUAAAA